rnacentral:rRNA from 1 species
GAGCUUGCUCUUAUGAAGUUAGCGGCGGACGGGUGAGUAACACGUGGGUAACCUACCCAUAAGACUGGGAUAACUCCGGGAAACCGGGGCUAAUACCGGAUAAUAUUUUGAACUGCAUAGUUCGAAAUUGAAAGGCGGCUUCGGCUGUCACUUAUGGAUGGACCCGCGUCGCAUUAGCUAGUUGGUGAGGUAACGGCUCACCAAGGCAACGAUGCGUAGCCGACCUGAGAGGGUGAUCGGCCACACUGGGACUGAGACACGGCCCAGACUCCUACGGGAGGCAGCAGUAGGGAAUCUUCCGCAAUGGACGAAAGUCUGACGGAGCAACGCCGCGUGAGUGAUGAAGGCUUUCGGGUCGUAAAACUCUGUUGUUAGGGAAGAACAAGUGCUAGUUGAAUAAGCUGGCACCUUGACGGUACCUAACCAGAAAGCCACGGCUAACUACGUGCCAGCAGCCGCGGUAAUACGUAGGUGGCAAGCGUUAUCCGGAAUUAUUGGGCGUAAAGCGCGCGCAGGUGGUUUCUUAAGUCUGAUGUGAAAGCCCACGGCUCAACCGUGGAGGGUCAUUGGAAACUGGGAGACUUGAGUGCAGAAGAGGAAAGUGGAAUUCCAUGUGUAGCGGUGAAAUGCGUAGAGAUAUGGAGGAACACCAGUGGCGAAGGCGACUUUCUGGUCUGUAACUGACACUGAGGCGC